AGAGUUUGAUCCUGGCUCAGGACGAACGCUGGCGGCGUGCCUAAUACAUGCAAGUCGAACGCUUUUUCUUUCACCGGAGCUUGCUCCACCGAAAGAAAAAGAGUGGCGAACGGGUGAGUAACACGUGGGUAACCUGCCCAUCAGAAGGGGAUAACACUUGGAAACAGGUGCUAAUACCGUAUAACACUAUUUUCCGCAUGGAAGAAAGUUGAAAGGCGCUUUUGCGUCACUGAUGGAUGGACCCGCGGUGCAUUAGCUAGUUGGUGAGGUAACGGCUCACCAAGGCAACGAUGCAUAGCCGACCUGAGAGGGUGAUCGGCCACACUGGGACUGAGACACGGCCCAGACUCCUACGGGAGGCAGCAGUAGGGAAUCUUCGGCAAUGGACGAAAGUCUGACCGAGCAACGCCGCGUGAGUGAAGAAGGUUUUCGGAUCGUAAAACUCUGUUGUUAGAGAAGAACAAGGAUGAGAGUAAAACGUUCAUCCCUUGACGGUAUCUAACCAGAAAGCCACGGCUAACUACGUGCCAGCAGCCGCGGUAAUACGUAGGUGGCAAGCGUUGUCCGGAUUUAUUGGGCGUAAAGCGAGCGCAGGCGGUUUCUUAAGUCUGAUGUGAAAGCCCCCGGCUCAACCGGGGAGGGUCAUUGGAAACUGGGAGACUUGAGUGCAGAAGAGGAGAGUGGAAUUCCAUGUGUAGCGGUGAAAUGCGUAGAUAUAUGGAGGAACACCAGUGGCGAAGGCGGCUCUCUGGUCUGUAACUGACGCUGAGGCUCGAAAGCGUGGGGAGCGAACAGGAUUAGAUACCCUGGUAGUCCACGCCGUAAACGAUGAGUGCUAAGUGUUGGAGGGUUUCCGCCCUUCAGUGCUGCAGCAAACGCAUUAAGCACUCCGCCUGGGGAGUACGACCGCAAGGUUGAAACUCAAAGGAAUUGACGGGGGCCCGCACAAGCGGUGGAGCAUGUGGUUUAAUUCGAAGCAACGCGAAGAACCUUACCAGGUCUUGACAUCCUUUGACCACUCUAGAGAUAGAGCUUCCCCUUCGGGGGCAAAGUGACAGGUGGUGCAUGGUUGUCGUCAGCUCGUGUCGUGAGAU
rnacentral:rRNA from 1 species